rnacentral:rRNA from 1 species
CGGAGGAUCCAAGCGUUAUCCGGAUUUAUUGGGUUUAAAGGGUGCGUAGGCGGAAUAGUAAGUCAGUGGUGAAAGCCUGCAGCUUAACUGUAGAAUUGCCAUUGAUACUGCUAAUCUUGAGUACAUAUGAAGUGGGCGGAAUGUGUCAUGUAGCGGUGAAAUGCUUAGAUAUGACACAGAACACCGAUUGCGAAGGCAGCUCACUAAACUGUAACUGACGCUGAGGCACGAAAGCAUGGGGAGCAAACAGGAUUAGAUACCCUGGUAGUCCAUGCCGUAAACUAUGAUUACUCGAUGUGUGCGAUACACUGUACGCGUCUAAGCGAAAGCGUUAAGUAAUCCACCUGGGAAGUACGACCGCAAGGUUG